ensembl:lncRNA
GAAAAUAGGCUGCAGGUGGACUGAGGUGCUCUGGAUUCUUGUCCUUCUGUGAACUCUGGGAGUUGCCUGUUUUUGCACCAGGUUCUGGACUCCUCCAGUCAAAUGGAUUCGCGCUCUGAUGUAGGCAUGAGUAUCUCCAGCUCAGUACCAGAAAUGCUUUACCAUGGAUCUGAGCAGUCUGUCACAAUAGAAAAUCUGGGAAAAGAAAAAAAAGACUCAAAGCUUUUCAAGAUGCUAAAAAUUCAACACAACGCUUGAGAGUUAAGGUCCUGAAACUGGUGUUUAAAAGUAGUUUGCAGUCUUGUUUCCACUAAACAACUGCUACAAAAUGGAUGAAAUAAAAUAAGCUACAUCCACAUGCUUUCAGGGAGUAGGCAAUGAUGUUUGGAGCAUGCUGGCAGCUGCUGUGAGUUACCUCUGAGGUGCACAGCUCUCUCCACCCAGUGAGAGGAAGCCCAGAUUGGACCAGCAAAGUGGUGUGAACCUUCCUGUUUGUGUCAAACUGUACUGUCAGUGCAUAUAUUGACUUCACCGAAGUAGUUUGGGCUUUCCACCACUGAUGAGACCUUGGUGUCCUA